rnacentral:rRNA from 1 species
AACGAACGCUGGCGGCAGGCUUAACACAUGCAAGUCGAACGCCCCGCAAGGGGAGUGGCAGACGGGUGAGUAACGCGUGGGAACAUACCCUUUUCUACGGAAUAGCUCUGGGAAACUGGAAUUAAUACCGUAUACGCCCUACGGGGGAAAGAUUUAUCGGGGAAGGAUUGGCCCGCGUUGGAUUAGCUAGUUGGUGGGGUAAAGGCCUACCAAGGCGUCGAUCCAUAGCUGGUCUGAGAGGAUGAUCAGCCACAUUGGGACUGAGACACGGCCCAAACUCCUACGGGAGGCAGCAGUGGGGAAUAUUGGACAAUGGGCGCAAGCCUGAUCCAGCCAUGCCGCGUGAGUGAUGAAGGCCUUAGGGUUGUAAAGCUCUUUCACCGAUGAAGAUAAUGACGGUAGUCGGAGAAGAAGCCCCGGCUAACUUCGUG